rnacentral:lncRNA from 13 species
CCCCUAGUUGCCUUAAUACUUACCCAUUCAGUGGAGCCAUCCUCGAGUAAUAAUAGCUCAGCUUGACCCGAUUAGAGAGGCUGAACUGUAGUGUAACAGCACAGGCUACUGGCUUCAGAUCCUGGCUCCCCGCCUACCUGCUGUGCAAACUUAGGUGAGUUUUCCACGUGUCUGAGGCUCAGCUUCCUCCUCUGAGAAGCGAACCUCAGAAUAGGACUAGUUGAAGAGAGUUGACAAGGCGGUACUAUUUGCAGUGUCCUUGGAACUUAGUAGGUGCUGUGUAAGUGUUAGCUGUUGUCACCACCUGUUUGUCGUGUUCCAGGCAGCAGCCCAGGUGUUCACACAGGUGUUAAUUCAUUUAAUCUCCCCAACAAUCCUGUGAAAGUGGUAGUGCUAUUAACCCCAUUUACAGAGUCACAGAGAGGCUAUUAGGUUGGAACAUAUGAAAUUGCUAGUUUUGUAGGUCAAACAUAGUUCUGUAUCAGCAAUUGCAUGUGGCUCACAGCUAGCAUGACUGCAGGUCUCAAAGCCGGGCAACCAGCCCAAGCUAUGCAGCCUGCACUUUUACUGGAGCACCUACAGGGCACCAGAGAGAUGGUGUGUCCUCUAUUACAGCACUUACAGUAUUACAGCAGGGCUGUCUAUGUAACAAAGGCUGAGCACAUGGAAGAGGGAGCUACAGGCUAUUUUUCAAUACCUUUCCCCUACACCUUAGAUCAUUUGGGCAUAUUGGACAUAGACAUCACCUAUUCCAUGAAGCCUUCCCUGACUUCUCCACCCAGAGAACUCAACCUAUGCGUGGAGUCAAAGUGACGUCACUAAACACGGAAUUGGGAAGAGAGACUUAGUAGCCAUCAUGACAUGGCAUUUCCACGACCGAAAUACAAGAGAAGUGCAUGGUCCCAGCGGCAUAGAGAACAAUAAAGUGCAGUGAGA